rnacentral:rRNA from 1 species
AUUGAACGCUGGCGGCAUGCCUUACACAUGCAAGUCGAACGGUAACAGGUCUUCGGAUGCUGACGAGUGGCGAACGGGUGAGUAAUACAUCGGAACGUGCCUAGUAGUGGGGGAUAACUACUCGAAAGAGUGGCUAAUACCGCAUGAGAUCUACGGAUGAAAGCAGGGGAUCGCAGGACCUUGUGCUACUAGAGCGGCCGAUGGCAGAUUAGGUAGUUGGUGGGAUAAAAGCUUACCAAGCCGACGAUCUGUAGCUGGUCUGAGAGGACGAUCAGCCACACUGGGACUGGGACACGGCCCAGACUCCUACGGGAGGCAGCAGUGGGGAAUUUUGGACAAUGGGCGCAAGCCUGAUCCAGCAAUGCCGCGUGCAGGAUGGAGGCCUUCGGGUUGUAAACUGCUUUUGUACGAAACGAAAAGCCCUGGGUUAAUACCCUGGGGUCAUGACGGUACCGUAAGAAUAAGCACCGGCUAACUACGUGCCAGCCGCCGCCGUAA